AUACAUAGCCAACAGGGGAGCUGCCACAACUAAGAAAGUGAUUUCCCAGGGCAAGCCUCUUCCAUUGCACUUGGGGUUUGCUGUGGCCCUGUGAUUUCCCCAAAUGGAGGAAACUCCACUGCAUAAUUUGUGACAGAUGGUAAACUGUAUAUGCUUUCCCC
rnacentral:snRNA from 1 species